rnacentral:rRNA from 1 species
GAGUUUGAUCAUGGCUCAGAUUGAACGCUGGCGGCAGGCCUAACACAUGCAAGUCGAGCGGUAGAGAGAAGCUUGCUUCUCUUGAGAGCGGCGGACGGGUGAGUAAUGCCUAGGAAUCUGCCUGGUAGUGGGGGAUAACGUUCGGAAACGGACGCUAAUACCGCAUACGUCCUACGGGAGAAAGCAGGGGACCUUCGGGCCUUGCGCUAUCAGAUGAGCCUAGGUCGGAUUAGCUAGUUGGUGGGGUAAUGGCUCACCAAGGCGACGAUCCGUAACUGGUCUGAGAGGAUGAUCAGUCACACUGGAACUGAGACACGGUCCAGACUCCUACGGGAGGCAGCAGUGGGGAAUAUUGGACAAUGGGCGAAAGCCUGAUCCAGCCAUGCCGCGUGUGUGAAGAAGGUCUUCGGAUUGUAAAGCACUUUAAGUUGGGAGGAAGGGCAGUAAAUUAAUACUUUGCUGUUUUGACGUUACCGACAGAAUAAGCACCGGCUAACUCUGUGCCAGCAGCCGCGGUAAUACAGAGGGUGCAAGCGUUAAUCGGAAUUACUGGGCGUAAAGCGCGCGUAGGUGGUUCGUUAAGUUGGAUGUGAAAUCCCCGGGCUCAACCUGGGAACUGCAUUCAAAACUGACGAGCUAGAGUAUGGU